CACGUAGGGCGCGAGCGUUGUCCGGAAUUAUUGGGCGUAAAGAGCUCGUAGGCGGUGAAUCGGGUUGAAAGUGAAAGUCGCCAAAAAGUGGCGGAAUGCUCUCGAAACCAAUUCACUUGAGUGAGACAGAGGAGAGUGGAAUUCCCGGUGUAGCGGUGAAAUGCGCAGAUAUCGGGAAGAACACCUAUGGCGAAGGCAGCUCUCUGGGACGGUACUGACGCUGAGACGCGAAAGCGUGGGGAGCAAACAGG
rnacentral:rRNA from 1 species